UAAUACAAUAAGUAUUCCAAAAGCUAUUACAUCAAAUGAGUGGCUUUGUGGGCAUACUUCCAACAAUACGGUCAUUCUCUAAUACAAUACUCUUAAUCACAUUGUUUGAGUGAUAGUUUGUUUCAUUCUACUAUCCAAUGUGAUACUUCUCUAUAUGAUUCAAUUGAAUAUGAUUUGGAAUAAACUUCCUAAGUCAUAUUCGUAUGCUUUGGCCAAAGAUUCCCUGAAUCAUAACUGAUAGGAGCAUAUUUAUGCGACUUAGUUAGCUUGUUCUCGUGCAUUUAUGUUGUUAUUUCUUAGUCAAUUAUGUAUUUUAAGCUAUUUUCGUGUGUUUGUAGGUUCAAAUAACAAAGUUGGCAACAAAAUGCUAUUUGCAGCAUUUUGGAGCAUUUUUGGGCCAAGAUUGGAUAGUGCAAGCAUAGAGACAUGAGGAUAGACGUUUUUGAAGAUUUGAAGGCUAGAAAUCAGCAUGUGUGUGUGCAAGUUUGUUGACCUACAACUCCAAACAUCCACCAACUACACCUAUUACAUCCACUCAUUACCAAACACUCAUCCACUACACCCAUUACAUCCACUCAUUACCAAACAUCUAUCCACUAGACCCAUUACAUCCACUCAUUACCAAACAUUCAUCCACUACACCCAUUACAUCCACUCAUUACCAAACAUCCACCCACUAGACCCAUUACAUCCACU
rnacentral:lncRNA from 1 species